rnacentral:rRNA from 1 species
CCUACGGGUGGCAGCAGUGGGGGAUAUUGCACAAUGGGGGAAACCCUGAUGCAGCGACGCCGCGUGUGGGAAGACGGUUCUCUGGAUUGUAAACCACUGUCUCCAGGGACGAAAAUGACGGUACCCGGGGAGGAAGCCCCGCCUAACUACGUGCCGGCAGCCGCGGUAAUACGUAGGGAGCGAGCGUUGUCCGGAAUUACUGGGUGUAAAGGGGGGGUAGGCGGGGUGGAAAGUUGGGUGGAAAAACUCCCGGCUAAACUGGGAGUCGCACUUGAAACUGCAGGUCUUGAGUGAAGUAGAGGCAGGCGGAAUUCCUAGUGUAGCGGUAAAAUGCGUAGAUAUUAGGAGGAACACCAGUGGCGAAGGCGGCCUGCUGGACUUUUACUGACGCUGAGGCUCGAAAGUGUGGGGAGCAAACAGGAUUAGAUACCCGGGUAGUC